rnacentral:rRNA from 1 species
UACGGGGGGGGCAAGCGUUGUUCGGAAUUACUGGGCGUAAAGGGCUCGUAGGCGGCCAACUAAGUCAGACGUGAAAUCCCUCAGCUUAACUGGGGAACUGCGUCUGAUACUGGAUGGCUUGGAUUUGGGAGAGGGAUGCGGAAUUCCAGGUGUAGCGGUGAAAUGCGUAGAUAUCAGGAGGAACACCGGUGGCGAAGGCGGCUUUCUGGACAGAUACCGACGCUGAGGCACGAAAGCUAGGGGAGCAAACAGG